rnacentral:rRNA from 1 species
GACGAACGCUGGCGGCGUGCUUAACACAUGCAAGUCGAACGGUGAAGCGCUUUCCUUUUUGGUUGGUGUGGAUGAGUGGCGAACGGGUGAGUAACACGUGAGUAACCUGCCCCCUUCUUCUGGAUAACCGCAUGAAAGUGUGGCUAAUACGGGAUAUUCUGCGCCUGCUGCAUGGUGGGUGUGGGAAAGAUUGUGCCUUUGGGUGUUUUCGGUGGGGGAUGGGCUCGCGGCCUAUCAGCUUGUUGGUGGGGUGAUGGCCUACCAAGGCGGUGACGGGUAGCGGGCCUGGGAGGGUGGGGGGGAACACGGGGACGGGAACAGGGCCCAAGCUCCUGCGGGGGGCGGCAGUGGGGAAUAUUGCACAAUGGGCGGAAGCCUGAUGCAGCGCCGCCGGGUGAGGGAGGGGGGCUUUGGGGUUGGGAACCUUUUUCGCGAGGGAAGCAGGCCUUCUCCUUGGGGGGGGGUGGGCGGUAGGUGAAAAAAAAGCCCCGGCUAACUAC